UUUUUGCAUGACAACAUUCAAUGCGUACAUGGGCCACUUUGCAUAAACAGUUUUGCAAUCAAAGUCACUAAAGUCGAAACAGUUCCAGUUUUACUUUUGUAAAGAACGGACGCUAUUUUUCCAGCUAUCGAGCAAACACAUACAUAAAGCGAAACAAAAAUGGUUGGACACAUGAAGUUUUUGAUUCUUGGACUGGUCAUUCUCUCGAUUGGCGUGAUGUCCUCGGUUGACGCUGGAUACGGGUGCAACGGUCCGUGGGACUACAACGACAACGUGUGCUCAGUCCACUGCCUCGCCACCAGCCUCUCCUCCGGCGCCUGCCGUUGGUUCACUGGAUUUUUUAGGUGUCACUGCGACUAAUUUACAUACAUGCAGGAACGACUCUUGCCACACUACUUAUUGUUUGGUUAACAAAUCUUUAAUAAAAUUCGUUUAAGCGUAAAUUUAGAUGCAAAAUGUAGAUUUCUUGAAUAAAUCAUUGUUCUUGUUGUUACUUGUA